AAACGAAAUGUUGUAACGAGUCAAGCUAUUUUAACUUACAACUUUUCUAAAUCGGAAACGAGUUUUGAAAAAUUUAAACAGAUUUUAAUUGUCUCUCAAUUAAAAUUUUUAGAAACUAGUGAACUGAACCAUCUAAGUAACUAGAAAAAAAAUCAACCGAGAACCCGUUAGUAGUGGCGAGCAAAAGCGGUAUAGACUAUUUUUAAAAGCUACAGGUAGUGUGUUUAAGACUUAAUAGCCAAAGAAGGUAGCAUAAAAUUAAACAUAUGUAGCCCUGUAAAACAUACACCAAAAUUUUAAAAUGCAAAGUAAAAUGAUACAAGUCAUGUAUUAUUUCAACAAUGGGGUCCCACCCUCAAAGUCUAAAAAAUUUUAACGAUUGAUAGCGAAUAGUACCGUAAGGGAAAGGUGAAAUAGAAUUUUCGAAUUUGAAAAGAACUUGAAAUUUAAUGUUUAUAAUCAGUUGUAGCUUUAAAAAAGUGACAGCGUUCCUUUUGCAUAAUGAAUCAAUGAGUUUAUAUCAAUGGCAAGCUUAAACGUUUAAAAGUGUAGGCUAAAAAAAAUUGAGUUUUAAAUUGCGCUCUUUUAAAAAUAUUAUUAGUCUUUGAUAUAAGACCCGAAACUAAGUGAUCUAAUCAUGAACAGGCUGAAUUUAAAGCGGUAACGCUUAUUGAAGGGCCGAACUCGUGUAUGUAGAAAAAUACUGAGAUGAUUUGUGAUUAGGGGUGAAAGGCCAAUCAAACUUAGAGAUAGCUGGUUUUCUGCGAAAUCUAUUUAAGUAGAGCGUUUAAAAUUCUUUAUCUAAGGUAGAGCACUCGAUAAAUAAAGGGGACGUAAAGUUUUACUGCAUUUAAUGAAACUCCAAAUAUAGAAUUAAAAAGAUUUUAAACAGACAGACUGUGAGUGCUAAGAUUCAUAGUCAAAAGGGAAACAGCCCGCAUUAUUUGUUAAGGCCCUUAAAAAUAAUUAAGUGAAAAAGAAAGUAAAAAAAUUUUAACAAUCUAUAGGUAGGCUUGGAAGCAGCCACCCUUUUAAGAAAGCGUAACAGCUCACUGGUUUAGUUUUUUUGCAUCAAAAAUGUAUAGGGACUAAAAUUAUUUGCCGAAACAAUAAAUUUAAAACAAUGCAAUUAAUAAUAUAAUAUUAAAAAAUUGAUUUUAAAUGGUAGCAGAACGUUUUGUAUAUUUAAGAAAGUUUAUAGUUAUAUAAACUGGAAAAAUCAAAAAUGAAAAUAUUGAUAUGAGUAGCGAAAAACAUUGUGAAUAAUAAACAUUGUCACCUUAAGUUCAAGGUUUUUAAGGGAAGGCUAAUCCUCCUUAAUGUUAAUCGGUCCCUAAGAUAAAAACGAAAGUUGUAGUUGAUGGGUAAUUUUUUUAUUAUAUUUUAACGUGACAAAAUACGAAUUUAAUUUUUAUUUGUGAUUUUAAUUAAAAGUUUUUUAGUAUUUUCAAGAAAUAGCUUAGAAUAAUACCGUACUCUAAACCGACACAGGUGAACAAAUUUAGCAAAUUAAGGUGCUUGAAUUAAUUGUAUUGAAGGAACUCGGCAAAAUGACUCCGCAACUUCGGGAGAAGG
rnacentral:rRNA from 1 species